rnacentral:rRNA from 1 species
AUUGAACGCUGGCGGCAGGCCUAACACAUGCAAGUCGAACGGUAACAGGAAACAGCUUGCUGUUUCGCUGACGAGUGGCGGACGGGUGAGUAAUGUCUGGGAAACUGCCUGAUGGAGGGGGAUAACUACUGGAAACGGAAGCUAAUACCGCAUAACGUCGCAAGACCAAAGAGGGGGACCCUCGGGCCUCUUGCCAUCGGAUGUGCCCAGAUGGGAUUAGCUUGUUGGUGGGGUAACGGCUCACCAAGGCGACGAUCCCUAGCUGGUCUGAGAGGAUGACCAGCCACACUGGAACUGAGACACGGUCCAGACUCCUACGGGAGGCAGCAGUGGGGAAUAUUGCACAAUGGGCGCAAGCCUGAUGCAGCCAUGCCGCGUGUAUGAAGAAGGCCUUCGGGUUGUAAAGUACUUUCAGCGGGGAGGAAGGGAGUAAAGUUAAUACCUUUGCUCAUUGACGUUACCCGCAGAAGAAGCACCGGCUAACUCCGUG